rnacentral:tRNA from 1 species
CGAAAUUGGUAGACGCUACGGACUUACAUGUCAAUAUCGACAACAAAGAAAUUUAUAGUAAAAGGAAAAUCCGUC